rnacentral:rRNA from 1 species
CAAUAGCGUAUAUUAACGUUGUUGCAGUUAAAAAGCUCGUAGUUGGAUUUCUGGAGGGAGCGUCGGCCCGUAUUUACGAGUGCGUGACGUCUCUGUCCAUCCUUGCGGGAAGGCACGGCAUUGAUUUGUUGUGUCGGAUCGCAUCAUUUACUGUGAAAAAAUUAGAGUGUUCAAAGCAGGCUUUCGCUUGAAUACAUUAGCAUGGAAUAAUAAGAUAGGACUUUGGUGCUAUUUUGUUGGUUGAGCCUAAAGUAAUGAUUAAUAGGGAUAGUUGGGGGCACCUGUAUUGCGUUGUCAGAGGUGAAAUUCUUGGAUUUACGCAAGACAAACAGCUGCGAAAGCAUUUACCAAGGAUGUUUNCAUUA